rnacentral:rRNA from 1 species
GCAAGUCAGGGGCAGCAUGUGGUGCUGCAACCAAUGAUGGCGACCGGCGCACGGGUGAGUAACGCGUAUCCAACUCCCCUAGUAGAGGAUAGCCCGGCGAAAGUCGGAUUAAUACUCUAUGUUGAUUUUGAUGACAUCUGACGAAUACCAAAGAUUUAUCGCUAAGGGAUGGGGAUGCGUCUGAUUAGGUUGCAGGCGGGGUAACGGCCCACCUGGCCUACGAUCAGUAGGGGUUCUGAGAGGAAGGUCCCCCACACUGGUACUGAGACACGGACCAGACUCCUACGGGAGGCAGCAGUGAGGAAUAUUGGUCAAUGGGCGCGAGCCUGAACCAGCCAAGUAGCGUGCAAGGACGACUGCCCUAUGGGUUGUAAACUGCUUUUAUCAGGGAAUAAAGUGAGGCACGCGUGCCUUUUUGUAUGUACCUGAUGAAUAAGGACCGGCUAAUUCCGUGCCAGCAGCCGC